AGGGCGCACUGUACCUUGGCUUGACAAAACAAACGUCAAAUCGUAUGACGUAUCACUGAGUGUUUAUGAAUAUAAUAUACUUUUGUUCCAAAUGCCUCAAUGCAGUGCGUUAAAUUGUAAAAACAGAGGAAUACAUUUAUUUCCAAAGGAAAGUAAACGUAGAAAGCAAUGGGAAUCUGCGUUACGUAUAAAAAAACUUCGAAGCUAGUAGCACAGCACGAUUGUGUGUUGCGCAUUUUACAGAAAAAGAUUAUUACGGGAAAAUCAAUUAUACAGGUUAUGAGCUCCUUGCAAAAUUUCUUAAAAAGACAGCUGUGCUAUCUGUGUUCUUCUUAACGAAGAUAAAACCAGAAAAUCCAGCUGCUGUGGCACAUCAACAACGUAUUGAACGAAGAAGUCAGUCGAGUAACAAAUGUAGAUGAUUCACAACCAUCAAGUAGCAAAGUUAACCUAAUAAGUGACAGAGACAAUUUACUGGAAGUUGAUCAUGAAGAAGCAGUCAAAACAGAAGACAACAGUGCAGUAGGAUGUACAUAUAUUAUGCAUGAAUUUAUAUCUAAGGGCACUCAAGUUGAUCAAGAACACAAAUAUGGGUUUAUGAAUAGAUAUAAAGAUGAUAAUGCCACUAUUAAGUUUUACACAGGUUUUGAAUCAUAUAAAAAUUGAAUUUAGUCUACUCAGCUCUUAGUCCAGUGGUUCACAAAAUAAAAUAUUAUGGCAGCAAUGUGAUUAUUCUUAGCAGUGAUUCUAAUUCUAAUUUAUUAGUUGGUGCAAUACCUGGUAGCUUGCUGUUAUAUUGUUCUCAAGCAUUUGCAGGAUUGAUAAGUGAUCAGUAGGCAGUGGAACAAAGUGACCUUUUAGCAAAAUGUGAAAGUGGUAGUAGUAUACUGACUGACAGAGGAUUUAUGAUACAAUAUAUAUUUCAUCAGACAAAAAUGUGACCAUUAGGAUUCCCAGUUUCUUAAAAGAAAAAUUUCAGUUGCCUGGUCUUAAUGUAAUAAAAGAUAGGGAGCUUGCAAACAAAGGAGUUCAUAUAGAAA